AAAAUUUAUCAGGAGCAGUGUUGCACACUUUCUGCUGAGGAGUCUCUGCUGAAAGUGUACACAAGACGGUCGGCACGCAAGCUACCAUGAAGGUUUUACUACUCGCAGUGAAUAUUUUAUUUGUCGCAAGCACUGUCGUAGGCAAGAAAGUUGUCCAGCGCCCAAAACCAGGCCCUGUUGAAUGCCCUAUACGAUCCGGCCACAAUGGAUGUGUGGCCUACGGAACAACGAUUAAACCAGGACAAAGCAAGUCUUUCGAAAACCCUUGCGUUAAUGUUGAAUGCAGCAGCAACGGACGGAGACUUACAGUCGAAGGGUGCGCGCCAAGCGGAAACAUUUGUGCUGUGGAAUCCUUGAAUGCAGCGCCAAAUUCACUAACAUGGCCAUAUUGCUGUGCAAGAUGCCGGAACUCGAGUCUGCCCCAACCUGCGCCCGUUCGCCCGACUCCGCCCACUCGCCCGCCUGGGCCCGAGAUUCCGAUUUGGCCCGAGGACCCGUCCUAUCCCGACAACCCGCCCUUUCCCGGGUACCCGCCCAUGCAACCGUAUCCAGCCCAGCCCCGAAAUUCCUAACUAUAACACGCAUAGCACUAAACCGGAUGCUUGCGUCUGCUUAACCCACUGCUUUUCCUCUUUAUCCUCUGGGAAAUAUCUUCAUGUGAUCUUUGAUUAUAUGUAAGGGGACCAAGGAACUGCCUUUAUAAUGCUGCAUGCGCUCAUUUCGAUCUUGUCUUAAUAAAAGAAACAAAAUGGUUUACACAAACGGA